GGGCUCUUAGCUCAUUUGGCUAGAGCGCUUCCUUGACGUGGAAGAGGUGAGAGGUUCAAAUCCUCUAGAGCCCACCA
rnacentral:tRNA from 1 species